rnacentral:lncRNA from 1 species
CUCUGGGGAGCGGCCACAAGAUGGCAGUGUUUCAGAACAUUGUUUUACGGGGACGUGAGCUUAGCUGAAACGCUGACCAGGAAGGUGUCGAUGCAGCCUUGAUAUUUAAAGAGGUAAAUCCUUUCCUGCUGAGAGUAGAAGCAUCAUAGAGCAUGUUCUGGACAAUUUCUGGUGACUCAUCCCUAGAGCCCCUGGACACUGGCUGAAAUGCAAUGCAGAAGGCCGAUCUCUUAGACGGAUGGAAAUACCAAACUGUUGGGGUCUCCUGCCUCCUGAAGAAACACUGGUGUCAGACUAUGAAUCAACAGUCUCCUCUGAGAAACGUGUUCAUUCCAUCAUGGGAAGCAUGAAGAACAAAGCUAACUGCCA